UGGGGAAUAUUGGGCAAUGGAGGAAACUCUGACCCAGCGACGCCGCGUGCGGGAUGAAGGCCUCGGGUUGUAAACCGCUUUCAGCAGGGAAGAAGCGAAAGGACGGACCGCAAAGAAGC
rnacentral:rRNA from 1 species